rnacentral:tRNA from 1 species
GGCGGCGAAGGUCAGCAACUGAGGCGCUGCGGACCGGCAGGACUCAAAAUCUUCGGCCCGAAAGGGCGUGAGGGUUCGAAUCCCUCCUCCGGCA